rnacentral:tRNA from 1 species
UCCCAGGUGGCUCAGUGGUAGAGAAUCUGCCUGCCAAGCAGGAGACACAGGUUCAGUCCCUGGGCUGGGAA